AACGAACGCUGGCGGCAUGCCUAACACAUGCAAGUCGAACGAGACCUUCGGGUCUAGUGGCGCACGGGUGCGUAACGCGUGGGAACCUGCCCUUAGGGUCGGAAUAACUCCCCGAAAGGGGUGCUAAUACCGGAUAAUGUCUUCGGACCAAAGAUUUAUCGCAUUUGGAUGGGCCCGCGUUGGAUUAGCUAGUUGGUAGGGUAAAAGCCUACCAAGGCGACGAUCCAUAGCUGGUCUGAGAGGAUGAUCAGCCACACUGGGAGUGAGACACGGCCCAGACUCCUACGGGAUGCAGCAGUGGGGAAUAUUGGACAAUGGGCGAAAGCCUGAUCCAGCAAUGCCGCGUGAGUGAUGAAGGCCGUAGGGUUGUAAAGCUCUUUUACCCGGGAUGAUAAUGACAGUACCGGGAGAAUAAGCUCCGGCUAACUCCGUG
rnacentral:rRNA from 1 species